rnacentral:tRNA from 1 species
GUAGACAUAGUUUAACUAAAACACUAGAUUGUGAUUCUAAAAACAGAGGUUAAAAUCCCCUUGUCCACC